UGGAGAUGAAGUCCGAUCUGAACUCUGAGAUCCAAAAACUCAUCCCAAACACAGAAGAUUACCAGAGGCAGCUACAAAUGCAACAUUUGACUGGACAAGGUUGCUGGAAGAAACAAGAGGAGCCUCGCUGAACUCACUCUGCCAACGUGCCUGAGAAUCUGUUCCUUCAAUCGGUAUAUCAUCAUACGUUGAAUGUGGAUAUCACCAGCCCAACCUAUGUUGAUGUGAGCUUCUGCGAUGCUUCCCGCAAGGAUGUCAUCACCACCUCCAUGGCUUCCCCAUUGGUUGAUUUCCUCGUAUUCCUUCCUAUACGGAGGUCACCUUCACAGGUGUACAGAAAAGUGUUCAGCUGCUACCUGUCUAACCCCGACAAGGAUACGGACAUUGUGAGUGUCAAAGCCACUCUGAAGAACUCUGAGAA